CAUAUCAAUAAGCGGAGGAAAAGAAACCAACAGGGAUUACCUUAGUAGCGGCGAGUGAAGCGGUAAGAGCUCAAAUUUGAAAUCUGGUACCUUUGGUGCCCGAGUUGUAAUUUGAAGAGUACAAUCUUGGAAUUGGUCCUUGUCUAUGUUCCUUGGAACAGGACGUCACAGAGGGUGAGAAUCCCGUGCGAUGAGGAUACCUUUUCUUUGUAAGAUGUGCUCGACGAGUCGAGUUGUUUGGGAAUGCAGCUCAAAGUGGGUGGUAAAUUCCAUCUAAAGCUAAAUAUUGGCGAGAGACCGAUAGCGAACAAGUACAGUGAUGGAAAGAUGAAAAGAACUUUGAAAAGAGAGUGAAAAAGUACGUGAAAUUGUUGAAAGGGAAGGGUAUUCGAUCAGACUUGGUAUUUGGCUAUCUCUUCUCCUUGUGGGAGGGGCUCUAGCUUUUUACUGGGCCAGCAUCAGUUUUGGUGGCAAGAUAAUUGCAGUUGAACGUGGCUCUUCGGAGUGUUAUAGCUUCUGUCGAUAUUGCCUACCGGGACUGAGGUCUGCGACUUUUGUCUAGGAUGCUGGCGUAAUGAUCCAAUACCGC
rnacentral:rRNA from 1 species